rnacentral:rRNA from 1 species
GACGAACGCUGGCGGCGUGCUUAACACAUGCAAGUCGAACGGUUAAGCGCCUUCCUUUUUGGUGGGCGUGGACGAGUGGCGAACGGGUGACUAACACGUGAGUAACCUGCCCCCUUCUUCUGGAUAACCGCAUGACAGUGUGGCCAAUCCGCGUUAUUCUGGGUCUGUCGCAUGUUGGGACUGGGCACGAUCUUGUUUCGGUGGGGGAUGGGCUCGCGGCCUAUCGGCUUGGUGGUGUGGAGAUGGCCUACCAAGGCGAUGACGAGUAGCCGGCCUGAGAGGGUCGGCGGUAACACAGGGGAGAAGACGCGGACAAGACUACGAGAGGAGGCAGCAGGGGAGAAUAUUGCACGAUGGGCAGAAUGAUGAAGCAGCGACGCCGCGGGGAGGAUGGAGGCCGUCGGGUUGUGAACCUCUUGCGCCAGUGAAGCAGGGCUGCCUAGUUUGUGGGUGGGUUGACGGUAGCUGGAGAAGAAGCGCCGGCUAACUACGUG